rnacentral:rRNA from 1 species
UACCAGCUCUCCGAGUGGUAGGGAUGAUUAUUGGGCUUAAAGCGUCCGUAGCCGGCUUAGCAAGUCUCCUGUUAAAUUCAGCGACCUAAUCGUUGAGCCGCGGGAGAUACUACUGGGCUAGGAGGCGGGAGAGGUCGACGGUACUUCUGGGGUAGGGGUGAAAUCCUAUAAUCCCGGGAGGACCACCAGUGGCGAAGGCUGUCGACUAGAACGCGCUCGACGGUGAGGGACGAAAGCUGGGGGAGCGAACCGGAUUAGAUACCCGGGUAGUCCCAGCUGUAAACGAUGCGGGCUAGGUGUUGGGGUGGCUACGUGCCACUUCAGUGCCGCAGGGAAGCCAUUAAGCCCGCCGCCUGGGGAGUACGGCCGCAAGGCUGAAACUUAAGGAAUUGGCGGGGAGCGCCACAAGGCGUGAAGCUUGCGGUUC